AUAAGCGUUGAAAAGCUUCUGGAUGAGCCGAGUGUAGGAGUGAAAGGCCAAUCAAACUUGGAGAUAGCUCGUACUCCCCGAAAGGCAUUUAGGUGCCGCGUCGGAUGGUCACCGUGAGAGGUAGAGCGACCGAUAGGACAAGAGGGCUUCACCGCCUAUCGAGUCCUGACGAACUCCGAAUGCUCACGGUCUGCAGUCCGGCAGUAAGGGGGCGGGUGCUAAGGUCCGUCCCCGAGAGGAGAAGAAUCCAGACCGCCGUCUAAGGUCCCGGAGUUCUGCCUGAGUUAGUCUAACGAAGUCUGGUCCCUAUGACAGCUAGGAUGUUGGCUUGGAAGCAGCCAUUCAUUCAAAGAGUGCGUAACAGCUCACUAGUCGAGGGUCCGGGCAUGGAUAAUAAUCGGGUAUAAGGCAGACACCGAAGGCGCGGGAUAGCAUUUAAGAAAGUAUCGGUAGGGGAGCAUACUCACAGCGUCGAAUGGUGUACGUAAGUUAUCCUGGAGCGGUGAGUAAAGCAAAUGUAGGAAUAAGUAACGAUAAGGAGGGUUAGAUUCCCUCCCGCUGUAAGACCAAGGUUUCCCGGGCAAUGCCAAUCAGCCCGGGGUCAGUCGGGUCCUAAGUCUAAGCCGAACGGCGAUGGCGAUGGCAGAGACGGUUAAUAUUCCGUCACUGCCGCAUGGGGCGACGUGGAGACGGAGCAGUGAAACCACCGCGGGGCGACGGAAGUCCCCGUUGAAGAGUGUAGGCGUUGAGGAUGGCAGGCAAAUCCACCAUCCGAGCUGAACUUGACAGUAUGGAGUCUUCUUCGGAAGAAUCCAAUAGUGUGGGUAAUCAUACUCCCGAGAAAAUCCGCUAAGCUUAACCCAUGCGGCACCCGUACCGCAAACGGACACACGUGGUCGGGUAGAACAUACUAAGGCGUUGAGAGAUUCAUGGUUAAGGAACUAGGCAAAUUGACCCUGUAACUUCGGGAUAAAGGGUCCUCGUGAAGAGCGAGGCGCAGAGAAUAGGUCCAGGCAACUGUUUAACAAAAACACAGGGCUGUGCAAACUCGAAAGAUGACGUAUACAGCCUGACACCUGCCCGGUGCCGGAAGGUUAAGAGGAGAUGUCACCAGCAAUGGGAAGCAUUGAAUUGAAGCCCCGGUAAACGGCGGCCGUAACUAUAACGGUCCUAAGGUAGCGAAAUUCCUUGUCGGGUAAGUUCCGACCUGCACGAAUGGUGUAAUGAUCCGGACGCUGUCUCAACCAUGAGCUCAGUGAAAUUGUAGUAUCGGUGAAGAUGCCGAUUACCCGCGAUGGGACGAAAAGACCCCGUGAACCUUUACUACAGCUUAGCAUUGACCUUGGUCAUCCGAUGUGUAGGAUAGGCCGGAGGCUUCGAAGCGGGAGCGCCAGCUUUCGUGGAGCCAUCCUUGAAAUACGGCCCUUUGGCUGUCUGAGGUCUAACGCGUGAUACGCGGACACUGCUUGGUGGGUAGUUUGACUGGGGUGGUCGCCUCCAAAAGCGUAACGGAGGCUUCCAAAGGUGCCCUCGGGUCGAUUGGUAACCGACCUCAAAGAGUGCAAUGGCAUAAGGGCGCUUGACUGGGAGGCAGACAUGCCGAGCAGGCAGGAAACUGGGGCAUAGUGAUCCGGCGGAUGUGUAUGGAAACUCCGUCGCUCAAAGGAUAAAAGGUACUCCGGGGAUAACAGGCUGAUCCCCCCCAAGAGCUCAUAUCGACGGGGUGGUUUGGCACCUCGAUGUCGGCUCGUCACAUCCUGGGGCUGGAGAAGGUCCCA
rnacentral:rRNA from 1 species